rnacentral:sRNA from 1 species
GUGUUUCAGGCGACCCACUCCUCCUCCCGAGGUUGCCUGAGUGAACAGCGGCACUCCUCCUCCCAGUCGCUGUUCGGUUCUUUUCGAAAAGCCUGCCGCUCCUCCUCCCGCGGCAGGCUUUUUCG